rnacentral:rRNA from 1 species
UACGAAGGGGGCUAGCGUUGUUCGGAAUUACUGGGCGUAAAGCGCACGUAGGCGGGGCGUUAAGUCAGGGGUGAAAUCCCAGAGCUUAACUCUGGAACUGCCUUUGAUACUGGCGACCUAGAGUCCGGAAGAGGUUAGUGGAAUUCCCAGUGUAGAGGUGAAAUUCGUAGGUAUUGGGAAGAACACCAGUGGCGAAGGCGGCUAACUGGUCCGGUACUGACGCUGAGGUGCGAAAGCGUGGGGAGCAAACAGG